CAGGGGUCACCGGGGUCACAGGGGGUCACCGGGGGUCAGCAGGGGUCACAGGGGGUCAGCAGGGGUCACAGGGGGUCAGCGGGGGGUCAGCGGGGCCACCAGGGGUCAUCAAUGGCCACCCAAGGUCACCAUGGGCCACCGGGGGUCACUGGGGCCACCAGGGGUCAUCAAUGGCCACCCAAGGUCAUCAAUGGCCACCAGGGGUCAUCGAUGUCCACCCAAGAUCACUGGGGGCCAUCAGGGGUCAUCGGGGCCACCAGAGGUCAUCGAUGGCCACCCAAGGUCAACAAUGUCCACCCAAGGUCAUCGGGGCCACCAGAGGUCAUUGAGGCCACCAGAGAUCAUGGAUGGCCACCAGAGGUCAUCAAUGCCCACCCAAGCUCAUCAAUGGCCACCCAACGUCACCAGGGACCACCAGAGGUCAUCGAUGGCCACCCAAGGUCACCGGGGGCCACCAGGGGUCAUUGGGGGCACCCAAGGUCACUGGGGCCAACAGAGGUCACCGGAGGCCACCAGAGGUCAUCGAUGUCCACCCAAGGUCAUCAGGAGUCACCACAGGUCACCGGGGCCACCAAAAGUCAUCAGGGGCCACCAAAGGUCACCAGGGGCCACCAAGGGCCAUCAGAGGUCAUCAAUGUCCACCCAAGGGUCACCAGGGGCCACCAAAAGUCAUCAGAAUCCACCAAGGGUCCCCAGAGGUCUCCAAAGGUCAUCAGGAGCCACCACAGGUCACCGGGGGCUACCAGAGGUCACCAGGGGCCACCAGAGGUCAUCGAUGUCCAUCCAAGGUCACCAGGGGCCACCAAGGGUCACCGGGGCCAUCAAAAGUCAUCAGAGGUCACCAGAGGUCACCGGGGCUCAUUGGGGGCCACCAAGGGCCACCAGAGGACAUCGAUGUCCACCCAAGGUCACUGGGGCCACCAAAGGUCACCGGGGGCCACCAAAGGUCACCGGGGGCCACCAAAGGUCACCGGGGGCCACCACAGGUCACCUGAAACGCUGGCACCUGCCCCAGGUGUGUGCCCAGCUGUGUCUCACAGGUGUUCCUCCCCAGGUGUGCCCAGGUACAACCCCAGGUACCGCCCAGGUGCCCCCAGGAGCCCCCAGGUACCCCAAGAUCCCCCCCAGGUACCCCCAGGUACCCCCCAGGUACCCCCCAGGUACCCCCAAGAUGCCCUCCAGAUACCCCCAGAUACCCCCAGGUACCCCCAAAUACCCCCAGAUACCCCCAGGUACCCC
rnacentral:lncRNA from 1 species